rnacentral:guide_RNA from 1 species
AAAUAGUAAUACAACAGACAGAGCAUAUAUAGAAAUAAGUGAGAAAU